GAAAGAAUUCAAUUCAAAAUCCGCGUAUUCAAUUCUAAAUGCCUUGUUCAUCACAAAUCGCACACCCCGGCAGAAGGAAGUUUCCAAUUCAACAGUCACAGGGGAAUGUGUUAUUUCAGGAAUAAUGACGGAAUUUUGCCGAUUUUUUUUGUGAUGCGAUAAUGUUCAAAUGUAACCUUUCACAAUUCAAGCUGGAAAAGAAGCAGUUGAACACCAAGAUAUCGCUAACUCGCCGUAAACGCUUCAAAAUGGCCUGAGACGCUGGUAAUCAACAAAGAAAACAACAAGGCAAUAAGGAAACUCCUGGCUUUCAAUGAUGUGAUUUAUAGUUCUCUGGAAAGUUAAUUUUAUACACUUAAAAGUGAGAUGUUAAUUGUAGGUGUUAUUGCUGUACAUAUUUGUUUAAUAGAUAAUAUAAAAGAUGGAUGUGUACAAUUGUUACGUUUUACCACUGCACUAUAUGAGUUGAAAAAGAGUUUAAUCCUAUCAAAUUGCUUUUAAAAUGUUAAACACACAGGUAGGUUCUAUGUGUACAGCUUAUCCACUCUCUCACCUGAUUGGUCAAAAAACCUAUCAUUUAUUGUACUGGUAAACCCAUAGAAAAUUGAAACAAUUUAAGUUUCUUUCAUACGAGCAAUAGACUGCACUUUUUAUCGGUUUACCAGUGAAG